rnacentral:snoRNA from 1 species
GCCGACAGUGAGGGGACAAUCGUCUCCUCAGGGCUCGGUGAACCCGCAUCCCUAAGCUUAAUCGGGCCUAAUGAUGGGGUGUGCUCACGCCGAGCCCACAGGGCUUGCUUAGCAUCCACCCGCGCGAUUAAUGAACGCGGGUCUCUGUGGCAAGCCCACAUUUAAUCCUUC